CGCAGCCGCCAGCGCUUCCUGCAAGCACUGCCACCCCUGUCCCCCCGAGCCCAACGUGGCCACCCGUGAGGAGCACAGACUCUGCGACACCUUCUGAAGAUACAGGGGGAAAAAAUGGAGUAAAUUAGGCCCCCAUGCAGAAAGCCAGCCAGAUGGAUGGAUGAAGAAGCAAACAGGUCAAGCGUAUUGAAAUGUGGCCCCAGAAGGCCACCAAAGCAGUGUACAAAACAGUGGUGGCAAGUUCUCCCCAGGACAACAGGCAGGACAGCUGUGGAGGUUUUUGAGUCUGGUCUUCCUCAACCAGGCUUAUACACCACAAAGAAACCAAGUAACUUUACUUAACAGAUGAAAUCUUCUAAGAUUAUUUCUGAAAUCUUCAGAUGUGAACCAAAAUCAGUGGCAAAAAAACCCAUUGCCAGAUACAGUACCAGCCUUUUCUAUGACCACCCUGUCCUAGAAAUGGGGACAAGUUAACGAUCUACAAGGCUUUUCUAACUCUAAUACGUACAGUAACACACCUAUUAGCCUACUGCAAAAUUGAAACCCUGAAGAAGCAUUUGGUACCCACAUGUCUCAGCACGAAUAUGGCACCCUUAGAACUCCGGCCCUACCAGAACACUUCUUAGCUGAGGCAUCGGGACAAAGCUUGAAUAGCUACAGAGAGUAAAUAGUUUAAAGAGGCUCUGGAGGCAGAGGAAUGACAGCCCAAAACACAAGACUCGUGAAGAGGAUGCAAUGGACAAUGUAACCAGCACCUCCAAGGACAAUACCAGGCAAGUUCUGUCAUCAGCAGACAAUGUGCAAGCCCUGGUGCCUUCAAGACACAGUUUUUAUGAAAGCUCUUCCUACAAGGGUCAUCUUCUGGUUGGAAAGCCAGCCUCCACUAAAAACAAACCAUGUCAUCACAUCCUUGGGAAACUAUUCUUGUAAGCUCCAAAAUUAUGUAGGGCAGCACAUGUAGCAGACACAAAUAGGGGGAAACUGUCCUUGUCAAUUUGCUCUUAACUUGAAAUUGAGUCUGGUUGGAAGGGCAAGUUAAACAUUAAUUUUCUGACAGUGGUCAGCACUGGGUAUCACAAAUUGUAACUGCAGUUUCACAAUUAUAUUUUGCUGCUUCUUUCCCUAGCUGCAAUGUAAAAUUGAAUAAACACCAAGAUAGCUAAAAACUGGAGAACAGCAGAAAUUACUUGAUACAAAGCUCAGCAGACCAAGGUAGUUUUCUUCUAACCUGUUAGCUUUAUUCACUCCACCAAAGGAUCUCACGAAAAACACAAGUAACUCUAGAGGAACAUACAGCAUGACAAAACAGUAUAUGCAGCCAAAAUAAGUAAAAAUGUUUCUUUCUCUCAAGAGCAGAUAAAAAUUCAAAUCACCCAAGCUCACUCCUGUCUUCCAACACAGAAACUCAAGACUUGUGUGGUAUGACAUUUAAACUGCACCCACUACAGAAGUCAAACCACUACCACGCUAGGAGGUGAAAGAAAUGCGGAAGAAGCUCACAAGUGCAGCGGUGAAACCGUUAGUACACUAACGGCAGCAUUCAAGAAGUGCAGCACAUUCCCCUCAAAACAAAAAAUGGAUUUGGUAUAUUCACACAGAAAUGUUGACGAGGAGUUAAAUAUAGUGUGUUCUAGGAAUAGACUAAAAUAUCUAAUUAUAGAUGAAAAGAGUGACAUUCAAUCCAUCCCAAAUCAACCCUUUCCCACAGUUUCCAACCUAUGUACUUAGCAUUCCUAUUCCCAGCAAAUUAUCCUAACCAAUAGUAUCCUUUCCCCCAGUAUAGAGACAAAUAAUUUUUACACACAAAUUUAGGAAUUGGGGAUUCUUUCCAGGCUAACCAAACUACUAUCAGUUUCACAUUGAAGCCUGCUUGAACCUUGAACAAACUCCACAUGACACAAGAGGAGUGAGCUCUUUAAGGACAAACACAUGACCUGAGCUCCAGCCUCUGAUUCAACACUGAAGAUGGCUGACAGGUAAAGCCUAAAGCAGACCAAGGUAAGAAUGCAUACACUUUGGUCCCUAUCCAAUGGGAUCCUCUCAGUACAACCAUGGAAUCAGUGGGAAGCUUUGCCAAAGGACAGGCUCAUAUUGAAGAAUAAAUCAUUUUUACGUCUACAUAGAUUAGCCAGGUCAGGUCAGGAAAGUGAAAACAUCCAGAGCCUUUCACACGGCUGCUGCAGACUUUUGAUAAGCAAAAGACUUAAAAUUCCAGCAUCUAAAGUCUCUGUCAACUACUUUAUCUGUGGAGAAACACUUAGGUAAGAUUUAAGAAAGCAAGAUUUAAGAAUACAAAUAAUCUCUAAAACACGUCAGUGGCAUUAAAAUUAUAAGCACCAUAAAUCACUGGCAUAUGGUAGCAAAGUUUCAGAGCUUAUGGUGCAGAUUGUAACCAAGGCUGGAGAGGUGAACUCCACCUUCUGCCACUCCUGUGCUGAAUCACUGUGGUGGGGAAAGUCCUUGCUCCUUCUCACACACCCAACAAAACUUCAGGGAGUUACCAAAACUGUCAGUGGAAACAACAAAAUCUGCAAGCAAAAGCUGAGAAUUUUUUGCAACACCUGCAAGAAGAGAAAGCUGUUUUGGAGAUCAAAGCUUCUCUUCUGAUACAGAGGGAAAUCCUCCUUUUUUCUUUCUUUUCUAUCAGCUCACUGAGUAUAGUCCUGUCACAGUUCCCCCCCCGUGAAUACAGCUGCGCUGAAAUACACCUCAUGUAUUUGGCUUUUUCAUACAUCAAGUGUCCAAAAAAGUUAAGACACACAACUGAAGUACAAGUUUGCAGCAACCCUGAAACAUCAGGCUAUACCAGGCCAACAACAUUCUUCAGAUCUGGAUGCCUACCUCUUUUCUUCUCAUUUGAGGACCAAGACCAUGGACUUGACAAUUCUAAUAUUCAACGAAUGAGAAAAGAACACAUUAGAAAACCAGCACUUCUGAAAAAGCAGGGAUCUGGCAAUAAUGUUCAAUCUAACUGGCAUCUAAUGACACCACUCCCAUGGCUCUCUCAACAAUCACAAACUCAAUUCAAACUGAAAGACCUCUGCCUUGAGGGUGUGGGGGGUUGAGGGGCGGAAAAGUAGGAAUUUUUUUUUUUAUUUAUUUUUUUUUUUUGAGACAAACAUGAGCUUCAGCUAUAUAAAAAAUAACACCAUUUCUCUGUACCUUCUAAUCCACUUCUCUGCUUCUAGAUCUGUCCAAGCUGUCAACUCUAAGUCUUGGGAGGACUUUCAAAUCACUUUUUCCUAGCUCCACCACUGUACCAUAGACGUGUCUGUGGCCCUGGCAAAGUUCUUGUACGGCAGCAAGAGACUGAACAUGGCAGCUUUUGCCUUCAAAGAGGAACUGCUCCUCUGUGAAGCCCUGAUCAAGAGAAAGCAGCAGCAGCC